AAAAUGACGCUGAGGAUGUAUGUGUGUGGGUUGCGAGCUAAUGACAUCAACAACCCGCUUAUCUUAAGAGGACAAACUUCUUAUAUCUAUUACCAUCACACGGUUUUUGUGGGGCCUCCAGAUCAUACAUACAUACAUAGGGCCCACAACUGAAGGCCACCGAUCAUUGAUCCCUGUUCUCCCCAUAUCAAAAGGUCCCUAUUAUUGUGGGUUACUCUAGUGGUUGAUUUACUACACAUGUUUGUGGAUGGUGUGGCUGUCUCGGCAAGCUGCCAUUGACGUGAGGUGUGACGUAUGUGUAAUCACGAAGAUCACUGCUUGGUUUAUUUAUAUUGUAGGAUUUGAGGUAAUGGUUAUGUCCCACGUUGUUGAUGUCGUUGCUGG
rnacentral:sRNA from 2 species